GACGAACGCUGGCGGCGUGCUUAACACAUGCAAGUCGAACGGAGUGGCGAACGGGUGCGUAACACGUGGGUGAUCUGCCUCGCCCCUCGGGAUAAGCUUGGGAAACUGGGUCUAAUACCGGAUAGUGUCAGAUGAGCUGGCGGCCUAUCAGCUUGUUGGGGGAGUAAUGGCGUACCAAGGCGACGACGGGUAGCCGGCCUGAGAGGGUGUACGGCCACAUGGGGACUCUGAUACGGGACGGACCAGUACGGGAGGCAGGAGAGUGGAAUAUUGCACAAUCGGCGGAAGUCGGGUGCAGGAACGCGGCGUGGGGGAUGGAGGCCUUCUGGUUGGAAGCUCCUUUCGGCAGGGACGCGGUACCUGUAUAAGAAGCACCGGCUAACUACGUGCCAGCAGCCGCGGUAAUAC
rnacentral:rRNA from 1 species